GAUGAACGCUAGCUACAGGCUUAACACAUGCAAGUCGAGGGGAAACGACAUCGAAAGCUUGCUUUUGAUGGGCGUCGACCGGCGCACGGGUGAGUAACGCGUAUCCAACCUGCCCACCACUUGGGGAUAACCUUGCGAAAGUAAGACUAAUACCCAAUGACGUCUCUAGAAGACAUCUGAAAGAGAUUAAAGAUUUAUCGGUGAUGGAUGGGGAUGCGUCUGAUUAGCUUGUUGGCGGGGUAACGGCCCACCAAGGCGACGAUCAGUAGGGGUUCUGAGAGGAAGGUCCCCCACAUUGGAACUGAGACACGGUCCAAACUCCUACGGGAGGCAGCAGUGAGGAAUAUUGGUCAAUGGACGAGAGUCUGAACCAGCCAAGUAGCGUGCAGGAUGACGGCCCUAUGGGUUGUAAACUGCUUUUAUAAGGGAAUAAAGUGAGUCUCGUGAGACUUUUUGCAUGUACCUUAUGAAUAAGGACCGGCUAAUUCCG
rnacentral:rRNA from 1 species